ensembl:lncRNA
CAGCGAUUGGUCAGACCAUAAAUAAUAUAGAAGACAGCGCGCUAGCGUAGCUAGUCUAUGUAUAUUUAUGGUCUGCACGUCUGGUUGCAUCUCUGGCUGCUGGUGACCUUGUUUUCGGAGUAAAACACGAUGUUCAGAGGGAGAUGAUGCCACAUCUGGUCCAGCUGAUGGAAGGUCUUGAAGUUCUCUGACUGACCUCGACUGAAGAUGGUCGUCUCACUGGAUUUAAGGUUCAGAUGCUCAGUAACAAACUCCACCAAUGAGCCAACAGAUGCACAAUGAGGGACGUCUGCAGAGACUGAGAAAGAGUCUCACCACAUCCUGACAUGAGGAAAAAGACUUUAUUGAAGACUACAAUGAGAAAAACUAUCAGACAGCAGACGGCUGCAUUCAAGGUGAACUCUGAACAUUUAAUCUGGAACAGGAAUUCAAUAACGGCAGCAUGAGCUUCAUUUCAGUCUGUAGCUGCUGAAUUCAUGGAUGAAUCAUCUGGCACUAGAGAAGAAGACCAUCAAACAUCCACGUCAGCUGAUGGAGGUCCAAGAGUCUCACUGAACAACCAACCUACAGAGUGAAGACCUCAAAUCUGAUUGGACGGCCUCCUAUUCAGCCACAUGUGUGAACAAAUGCCUCUAAGCUGAUUUGUUUUCUAAAAUAAAUCUAGUUUGAGUCCUAAUCUAUGCCUGUUUGCUUCUUUACACAGCUGUUAACAGUUUAGGCUGUUAGAUUGUUCCAGAUAAGACAAGUACAAGAUUCUUCAGAGCCGUUCUACCACGAGCCUGACAGGAAGAACUCCAACAGCUACUGAAUGUUCCUGUGGUUCCCUCAAGGCUACAGGAGGAGUCCUACGAGGACGAGCCGGUCCACCUGAUGGCGGCCAGUCGCUGCGGUUCAAAGCCAACACCGACUACGUGGACUUCUACUGGACCACAUGGAGGCCUUCAAACCGGACCAACAAGUUCAGCGACUCCCCGACUCGUGGGUCUGAGGACACCGCCGAGCCUCGGUCCAGCCGGCCUCCUGUCUGUGGGUGUUUGAGUGCUGAGAGGUUUGUGGAUGCACG